rnacentral:lncRNA from 1 species
ACGUGAUCAAGUCAGCAAGAACCACAGUUAUUGUUUGAUGGCUCUCAUUUCUCUGAAAGGACACAGGGUAUGUUGUGGUAAUGGGAGUAUUAGAAACCACAGAAAGGUUAGGGAGGAACCAAGACAGCAUCACAGAGCAGCACAGACUGCUCCAGCAAGUACGUCAUUCAGUCCUCAGAGCAGAAAUGGCCAAAGGACGCUUUACAUGCUGGAAAUGAAGCCACCGCUUCCUAGCUGUGGGAGCCUGGUUCAGGAGGAUGCGGCCGCCCCCGGCUGGUGUCUGUCUGCAGCAGAGCUUACCGGCUGCUCUGAAGGCAGAGAGGACUCUGGAGCGAACGUGCAGAGCACGUGUGAUCUGGGAGAAAUGUAUUUCCCACGGGGACAGGGGCAGCUCUGCUGUCUGUAAAGGUGACUGAUAAAGUAUUUUUUUACAUCUACAUAGCACUUUACACGUCCUUUAUUGUGCAUGAAAGAAAGAAAAAUCUGAUGUCAACAGACUGUGGAUAUCUUCUCUUCUUACAGAAAGUGAUCCAUCACGCUGUAAUGAGAGGUAGGACAUCUGAUUGAAUUUUCACCUUUGCUGUGGCAAGAGCUUCCGUGGGUCCUGUACCGGACGCAGCCUGUGCUCUCCCCUCUUCUAGAUGUCGCCACCACAGCAACCAGUUCUGCACGGUGAAACCGUCAGCACCUCCCUGCGCCUCUUGAUUCCUGCCCUGGGGCCUCUGAUGCUGGGCUGUGGGAGGCCCAUGGGUACCUGUUCAGCACUCCCACAGGAGCACC